UCUCUUCAACCUCACAAUCAAGCACGCCUCUCUCCCUCUCUCAAGUGGAACACGCUCUGUUCUUUCUCAAAUCAAAACCGGCCGAUCGGCCCUUCUGAAUUCGCUCGACGUCUUCUUCUCCGGCCAUCCAGUCGCCGUCUGCUACCACCGGCAUUAGCUGCCGACGUGUUCGACACAGGCGCUCUCUCUUCCUUCUUCCUUCCUCACGCAGAAACAAGCGAGCCCUAGUUUCAUCUGGUGAGUCGCCGCUGCUGUCGCGCCUCCGUCUGGGAUCCGGCGAUUCAGCCGGCGCUGGCCGCACUCAUUUCUCCCCUCGUCUCAACAUGGAAUCGGGCGGUACCGGCCGCUCUCUCUCUUUCUCGGCCAAGAUCUGAUCGGCCCUCUUCCUCGGCUGUUCAGCGGCCGUCGGUUCCGGUCUCUCUCCCUCACGCUGAAGUUCCGCCGCCGCCUUGUGAAGGCCGGCGAGCGGCGCUGCCUCACUCCCUCUCUCACUUUACAUCUCUCAAAGAAAUUCUCGCCUGUACUUCGAUCUGUUGUCUCCGCUGUCGCUUCUCUGAAAUUGGCGAGUGGAGGGGAAAGCUUGCUGCCGGCGGCGAUUCUCCUAUUCCGACGUUCAUGGAAACUCCGUCAUCGAGUCGUCUCCUCAAAUCAGAGCAGGGCAGCAGCCCGCUCCCUUCUAAAGCUAAGUCAAAAAUAAUCUCGCCCCGUUUUCUAUCGGUUCUUAACGUGAAAUAGGCAAGGAUAAGGUGUAAUCUCUUCUUGCUUUGCAUAAACUCAUAUGCUUGUUUAAAGCUUCAUAUCAAUUGUCCUUAGCUCAUGAAAGCGUAGUUGGUGUAUUUACUAAGUUCAAAAUGCUUAAAAAGUCGUCUAUCAUUGUGAAACUGAUCAUGCUUUGGUUAUGUCGCCUAUCAUGCUUGAAUGCAGUAAUGUGUGAUGGAAAACAAUAUAUGGGCUAAGCAAUACCUUGAAAUGUGUUGUUGGUUAAAUAUUGUUGUUUGUUGAACUGGAGUAACUGAACUUAAGGUUCCUGGCAAAAAGGAAAUGAAUGAUUCUUGUUUUAAUGCAGGUGCUAAUCAAAUGGAAUGAAAUCAUUGAAGCCCAGCCUUACCUUGAGAUCUUAGCAGAAUGAAUUGGGGCUGCUCUUCAAUAUUUUUUCGGUGAAAUGAAGUGAGAUUGAGAGCUGUUUGUUGGCUGGGGUUGAUACUAAUAAUUCAUUGGUGAAGACUUGAGUGUAGUGGUGGGGGAAAAAGAAAAAAAACAUAAUGAUAGUGGUGUGGGAACAAAGUUUAAUGGAAAGAAAAAGAGAAGAAAAAGAAAGGAAAAAAAAUUGUAGAGGAGAAUUAUUGAUGUAUUUUCUCUGACUCGGUGAUUCUGUAACUGUAAAGUGAAUCACGUGCUCAUAUUUGCUUGUACUGUUUAUUUAAAUAAAUCUCGAUUUCGACAUGUGAUAUCUCGCUAAAAUCGAUAAGUUAUAAAAUGAAUCUAAA
rnacentral:lncRNA from 1 species